rnacentral:misc_RNA from 1 species
GUGAAUCAUCAAAUUUUUGAACGCAAAUUGCACUUCUUGGUAUUCCGAGGAGUACACAUGCUUGAGGGUCAGUUAAAAAAAAUCGUGCAUCUUUGAUGUUGCGGAUCUGGGUAUUUUGAUUUUAUAAAUCAAAUUACCUAAAAUUAAUAUAUAUAUGUAAUGUGAAGCGUACUAAUUAAAUAGUUGCUAAUCAUUUAUAUUUUAUUACAUUACAACCAAGUAGGUGGUGAUGUAUAAAUUACGAGAAUGACCUCAAGUCAUGUGAGAGUACCCGCUGAACUUAAGCAUAUCAAUAAGCGGA